UACGGAGGAUGCAAGCGUUAUCCGGAUUUAUUGGGUUUAAAGGGUCCGUAGGCGGGGAUUUAAGUCAGUGGUGAAAGCCCACAGCUCAACUGUGGAACUGCCAUUGAUACUGGAUGUCUUGAGUAUAGUAGAAGUGGGCGGAAUUGGGCAUGUAGCGGUGAAAUGCAUAGAUAUGCCCUAGAACACCGAUUGCGAAGGCAGCUCACUAUGUUAUAACUGACGCUGAGGGACGAAAGCGUGGGGAGCAAACAGUAUUAUAUACCCUGGUAGUCCACGCCGUAAACGAUGAUUACUCGCUGCUGGCGAUAUACAGUCAGUGGCCAAGCGAAAGCAUUAAGUAAUCCACCUGGGGAGUACGCCGGCAACGGUG
rnacentral:rRNA from 1 species